GUGAAGUCAUUGAUGCCAUGCUUCCAGGAAAAGCCUCUAAGCUUCAGAUUGUAAGGAAUCGUACCCCAAACCGACACAGGUGGUCGGGUAGAGAAUACCAAGGCGCUUGAGAGAACUCGGGUGAAGGAACUAGGCAAAAUGGUACCGUAACUUCGGGAGAAGGUACGCUCUCGACGGUGAAGUCCCUCGCGGAUGGAGCUAUUGAGAGUCGCAGAUACCAGGUGGCUGCAACUGUUUAUUAAAAACACAGCACUGUGCAAAAUCGUAAGAUGACGUAUACGGUGUGACGCCUGCCCGGUGCCGGAAGGUUAAUUGAUGGGGUUAGACUUCGGUCGAAGCUCUUGAUCGAAGCCCCGGUAAACGGCGGCCGUAACUAUAACGGUCCUAAGGUAGCGAAAUUCCUUGUCGGGUAAGUUCCGACCUGCACGAAUGGCGUAAUGAUGGCCACGCUGUCUCCACCCGAGACUCAGUGAAAUUGAAAUCGCUGUGAAGAUGCAGUGUACCCGCGGCUAGACGGAAAGACCCCGUGAACCUUUACUACAGCUUGGCACUGAACAUUGACCCUACAUGUGUAGGAUAGGUGGGAGGCUUUGAAGCACGUACGCCAGUAUGUGUGGAGCCGUCCUUGAAAUACCACCCUUGUAGUGUUGAUGUUCUAACGUCGACCCCUUAUCGGGGUUGCGGACAGUGCCUGGUGGGUAGUUUGACUGGGGCGGUCUCCUCCCAAAGAGUAACGGAGGAGCACGAAGGUGGGCUAAUCACGGUUGGACAUCGUGAGGUUAGUGCAAUGGCAUAAGCCCGCUUGACUGCGAGAAUGACAAUUCGAGCAGGUGCGAAAGCAGGUCAUAGUGAUCCGGUGGUUCUGAAUGGAAGGGCCAUCGCUCAACGGAUAAAAGGUACUCCGGGGAUAACAGGCUGAUACCGCCCAAGAGUUCAUAUCGACGGCGGUGUUUGGCACCUCGAUGUCGGCUCAUCACAUCCUGGGGCUGAAGUCGGUCCCAAGGGUAUGGCUGUUCGCCAUUUAAAGUGGUACGCGAGCUGGGUUUAGAACGUCGUGAGACAGUUCGGUCCCUAUCUGCCGUGGGCGUUGGAAGAUUGAAGGGGGCUGCUCCUAGUACGAGAGGACCGGAGUGGACGAACCUCUGGUGUUCGGGUUGUGUCGCCAGACGCAUUGCCCGGUAGCUAAGUUCGGAAUCGAUAACCGCUGAAAGCAUCUAAGCGGGAAGCGAGCCCUGAGAUGAGUCUUCCCUGAUACUUUAAGUAUCCUAAAGGGUUGUCGGAGACUACGACGUUGAUAGGUCAGGUGUGUAAGUGCUGUGAGGCAUUGAGCUAACUGAUACUAAUUGCCCGUGAGGCUUAACCA
rnacentral:rRNA from 3 species